rnacentral:rRNA from 1 species
GAUGAACGCUGGCGGCGUGCCUAAUACAUGCAAGUCGAGCGAACAGACGAGGAGCUUGCUCCUCUGACGUUAGCGGCGGACGGGUGAGUAACACGUGGAUAACCUACUUAUAAGACUGGGAUAAUUUCGGGAAACCGGAGCUAAUACCGGAUAAUAUAUUGAACCGCAUGGUUCAAUAGUGAAAGACGGCUUUGCUGUCACUUAUAGAUGGAUCCGCGCCGCAUUAGCUAGUUGGUAAGGUAACGGCUUACCAAGGCGACGAUGCGUAGCCGACCUGAGAGGGUGAUCGGCCACACUGGAACUGAGACACGGUCCAGACUCCUACGGGAGGCAGCAGUAGGGAAUCUUCCGCAAUGGGCGAAAGCCUGACGGAGCAACGCCGCGUGAGUGAUGAAGGUCUUCGGAUCGUAAAACUCUGUUAUUAGGGAAGAACAAAUGUGUAAGUAACUAUGCACGUCUUGACGGUACCUAAUCAGAAAGCCCCGGCUAACUACGUG